AGAGAGAGAGAGCGCGCGAGAUCGAUAUACAUGUAGAGAGAGAAAAUAUGUACAUGUAAGGGGAGAGAGAGAGAGAGAGAGGAGGCACGCUCACAAGCUAAAUUCUCAGAAAAAACUCUGCAAUUCUCUUUCUGUUCCUUUCGAGAGCUAGUCGAGAUCAAAAUUCGACGAAUCAAUACUUCGGAUUCGGUGCUGCUGAGUUCUUCAAUCGGCUCGUUUUCUUCGCAUUCGGAACAAAUCGACCUCAGAUUCGUCACAAAAUGGCUUCACGAAUGACCUAUAACAAAAUUUUGAUCGCAGCCUAGGUUGUUGUGAUUGAUCGAGAUUCUGAUGGAUUUGAAGAUUGAAGUGCUUUGGUAGAUUAAUGCCAGCGAGUUGUUAGUCUUUUCAGUUUAUGGUUUACAUGGAGUUUCAUUAGCCAUUCAGUAGGUUCUCAGAAAGUCUGAGGGAAGAAAAUGUGCCGAGCGUGCUGUUAGGUUUUUUAUGGGGCGAAUUUCGACGCAUCUUCUAGAGAUUUUGUGUUGUCCGAAUGGAAUUUACACUGCACAAGGGCUAUACCUGAUAUUGCAGUGUGAAUGGCUCAUAUACAGAGGACUAGUUUUGAUGAGAGGGAUGUCGAGCAGUCUAUUGCAGCCUUAAAGAGGGGGGCAUAUCUGCUAAAGUAUGGACGCAGAGGGAAGCCGAAGUUCUGUCCAUUCCGGCUUUCUACUGAUGAAACAGUAUUGAUAUGGUAUGAUGGCAAAGAGGAGAAGCAGCUUAAACUAAGUCAUGUUUCAAGGAUUAUACCUGGACAGCGAACUGUUAUAUUUCAACGGUAUCCUCGACCUGAGAAGGAAUAUCAAUCAUUUUCUCUUGUAUACAGCAAUAGAUCAUUGGAUUUGAUUUGCAAAGAUAAGGACGAAGCUGAAAUCUGGUUUGUUGCCCUUAGGGCAUUAAUUUCACGGGAUCACUAUCAAAAGUGGAGAAGUGAAUCAAGAAGUGGUAGUUUAUCAUCUGAUGGUUCAAGUGUCCAUACACAAAGAAACUCUCCAUCACUUUCCUCAUGUAGCAGCAGCAACAUAGUUUUUAAGGAUCAAGGGACUACUGAAAAAGAAGGUCAAAAAAUUCCAGUUCCUUUUGCUAAUCCCCCGCAGAAAUUAUUGGGAAGAGCAUUUUCUGAUGUUGUAACAUAUAGUGCUUCUGCGCAGUGUUACCCUCAGACAGAUUCUAUUGGCAGUUCUCUCAGUUCACUAUCAUCUGUAGGUUUAGAUAAUAUUGAUGGCCGGUGCUCUGCUGAUAGUCUUCGAAUCAGUUUAUCCAGUGCCAUAAGUUCAUCAAGCCAGGGAUCUUCUCUUGAUGAUCUUGAUGCUCUAUCUGAUGUUUUCAUUUGGGGAGAAGGAACUGGUGAUGGGCUGCUGGGUGGAGGUGUGCAUAGAGUUGGAAAGUCACCUGCUGCUCGAAUGGAUGCACUUUUACCGAAGGUUCUGGAAUCAGCAACAAUGCUUAAUGCCCAAAAUGUUGCUUGUGGAAGCAAACAUGCAGUGUUGGUUACCAAACAGGGGCAGAUCUUUAGUUGGGGAGAGGGGUUGGGUGGCAGGCUUGGGCAUGGAAUAGAAAUUGAUGUUUCUAACCCAAAACUCAUUAGCACUCUCAGUGGAUUGAACACUGAAUUAGUAGCCUGUGGAGAAUAUCAUACUUGUGCUGUUACAAUAUCUGGAGAUCUUUAUACUUGGGGUGAUGCUUCCCACAAUUUUGGUCUUCUAGGACAUGGGAGUGAAGUCGGUCGCUGGACCCCUAGAAAAUUAUGUGGUCAAAUGAAGGGUAUGCAUGUAUCAUCUGUCUCUUGUGGACCUUGGCAUAUAGCUGCCGUUACAAUGGUGGGUCAGUUGUUUACAUUUGGAGAUGGAACAUUUGGUGCCCUGGGUCAUGGAGAUCACAAUAGCACAAGUGUGCCCAGAGAAGUUGAAACUCUUAAAGGACUACGGACUGUCAAGGUAUCUUGUGGUUUUUGGCACACAGCUGCAGUUGUGGAGGUCAUCACUGAACCAACAAGUUCAGGUAGCUCAACUAAAAAGCUAUUCACCUGGGGGGAUGGGGAUAAAGGCCAACUUGGACAUGGCGAUAGUGACGCUAGACUCGUUCCAUCUUGUGUAGCAUUUUUGGAUAACAAAAACUUCUGUCAAGUGGCCUGUGGUCAUAGCAUCACUAUUGUUCUUACAACCUCAGGACGAGUAUAUACAAUGGGUAGUGCUGAUUAUGGACAACGUGGGUAUCCCGGAAGUGCUGAUAUGCUUCCCACUUGUGUCGAAGGUAAAAUCAGAUACAAUUACAUUGAAGAGAUAUCAUGUGGUUCUCAUCAUGUUGCAGUUUUGAGUUCCAAAUCUGAGGUUUACACUUGGGGAAAGGGAGCAAAUGGUCAAUUAGGGCACGGAGACAAUAAUGACAGAAAUACUCCCACACUCGUUGAAGCUCUAAGAGACAAGCAAGUAAAGAAUGUGGUUUGCGGAUCUAAUUUCACUGCUGCUAUUUGUCUUCAUAAAUGGGUGUGCCAUGUUGACAAUUCCGUAUGUUCUGCUUGCCACAGUCCAUUUAAUUUCAGACGAAAGCGUCAUAAUUGCUACAACUGUGGGCUAGUUUUUUGCAAAGCUUGUAGUAGUCGGAAAUCUCUAAAGGCUUCUUUGGCUCCCAAUACAAAAAAACCUUAUCGUGUUUGUGAUGGUUGCUUUACAAAGCUAAAGGUGGCCAUGGAAUCUGGAUCAACUUGUAGAAUUCCCAGAAUACCAAGUGGAAUAUAUCAAAAUUCUAGGGAGGUAGAAGAGAAGGAGACCCUGGAUUCUAAAUCACUCAGCCUACUUUCUACGCUCUCCUCAUUUGAUUCAUUCAAACAAGCUAGUAGCCAAAAUUUCAAGAAGAACAGAAAAUCAGACUCAAAUAAUGGUCAUACCUCUCCAUUUAGCACUGGAAGUGUCCAAUGUGGAAGCUCUUGUACAUCAAAUAUAUUUGAAUCCACUGCUUCUCUUCCUAGUUCUCGAACAGUAUCUCCAGUCUCUAUAAAUUCAAGCCCCUGUCAUUCCGUGUCAAUCGCAUCAGCAUUUGCUGCCUUUUCAUAUCCUGAAAUCAUUAUUGAUGAUUCAAAGCAAAAAAAUGAUGGCCUCAAGGAAGAAAUGGCAAUAUUAAGCUCACAGGUGGAAGAUCUUACUCGCAAAUCUCAACAUCUAGAAGCAGAACUUGAAAGAACAUCACGGCAGUUGAAAGAAGCAACUAUGCUAGCCAGGGAGGAAGCGGACAAAAACAGAGUUGCAGAUGAAGUAAUCAAAUCUCUAACCAAGCAGCUGAAAGAUAUGGCUGAAAAAGUGCCUCAAGAUUCUUCUCUUGGCAUAAAAUCAAGUUCGCUUGUUGGAACCACCUCAAGUACUCCGAGUCAAUCUUCUACUGGGAGCCAUAUGACAAGCAAUGCACAUCUUGAGCCUUCCUUUGAUGGCCACAUUUUAAUUCCAAUGUUGUCCAAUGGAUCCGUGGGACAAUCUGAAAAAUCAGAGUGGGAUAUACAUGAAAGUGGUGCGUAGUGCAAGUGCAUACACAACUUGUUUCCCUCCACUAGUACGAUCGCAGAUGGGUUUGCUUCAGUUGGAACCAAUUUGACGAGGAUCAAAGCUUGAGACAGAUGGUGGGCUGUGAACAAGAUCAAGAUAUGUGCAAAGGACAUCCGUUGCAUACAGCAAUGUCAUCAGAAAAAUGGAAGCUGAUAAAUAGGUAAUUCUUGUUUGAAAAAGAAUUUUGAUCACUUGAUGGAUCUAGAAUUACCCGAAGGAUCCGGGACCAACAAAAAGCCAAGAGAGGUUAGCUGGUAAAGAGAGAAAUGAAGUAAGUGGUAGAUAGAAAAAUUGUAAAUCAUGUGUACAUAUUUCUGCUACCUAUUAGAGUGAGCUCUGCAGUGUUGUACAAAUUUUGGUUCCAAAAUGUUAUGCUUUAAGCUGUUUCAA